GACGAACGCUGGCGGCGUGCUUAACACAUGCAAGUCGAACGGAAAGGCCCUGCUUUUGUGGGGUGCUCGAGUGGCGAACGGGUGAGUAACACGUGAGUAACCUGCCCUUGACUUUGGGAUAACUUCAGGAAACUGGGGCUAAUACCGGAUAGGAGCUCCUGCUGCAUGGUGGGGGUUGGAAAGUUUCGGCGGUUGGGGAUGGACUCGCGGCUUAUCAGCUUGUUGGUGGGGUAGUGGCUUACCAAGGCUUUGACGGGUAGCCGGCCUGAGAGGGUGACCGGCGACGUGGGGAGGGGGGAACGGCCGAGCCUCAUACGGGAGGCAGCAGGGGGGCGUGUUGGACAAUGGGCGGAGGCAUGAUGAAGGAAGGCGGCGGGGGGGAUGAGGGAAUGCGGGUGGUAAACCGAGUGCGCCGGGGCAGAAGCGUGCGAGAGGGUAAUGGGUAAGAAGGACCGGGCUAGCUACGUC
rnacentral:rRNA from 1 species